GAUGAACGCUAGCGAUAGGCUUAACACAUGCAAGUCGAGGGGCAGCACAAGGUAGCUUGCUACCUGGGUGGCGACCGGCGCACGGGUGCGUAACGCGUAUGCAACUUGCCCUAUACAGGAGGAUAACCCGUCGAAAGACGGACUAAUACUGCGUAUGCUCACAACUUGGCAUCAAGUGGUGAGGAAAGAAAUUCGGUAUAGGAUAGGCAUGCGUCCCAUUAGCUUGUUGGUGAGGUAACGGCUCACCAAGGCAACGAUGGGUAGGGGAACUGAGAGGUUUAUCCCCCACACUGGUACUGAGACACGGACCAGACUCCUACGGGAGGCAGCAGUGAGGAAUAUUGGUCAAUGGGCGCGAGCCUGAACCAGCCAAGUCGCGUGAAGGAUGACUGUCUUAUGGAUUGUAAACUUCUUUUAUACGGGAAUAACAAGAGUCACGUGUGACUCCCUGCAUGUACCGUAUGAAUAAGCAUCGGCUAACUCCGUG
rnacentral:rRNA from 1 species